rnacentral:rRNA from 1 species
GACGAACGCUGGCGGCGUGCUUAACACAUGCAAGUCGAACGGAAAGGCCCUGCUUUUGUGGGGUGCUCGAGUGGCGAACGGGUGAGUAACACGUGAGUAACCUGCCCUUGACUUUGGGAUAACUUCAGGAAACUGGGGCUAAUACCGGAUAGGAGCUCCUGCUGCAUGGUGGGGGUUGGAAAGUUUCGGCGGUUGGGGAUGGACUCGCGGCUUAUCAGCUUGUUGGUGGGGUAGUGGCUUACCAAGGCUUUGACGGGUAGCCGGCCUGAGAGGGUGACCGGCCACAUUGGGACUGAGAUACGGCCCAGACUGCUACGGGAGGCAGCAGUGGGGAAUAUUGCACAAUGGGCGAAAGCCUGAUGCAGCAACGCCGCGUGCGGGAUGACGGCCUUCGGGUUGUAAACCGCUUUCGCCUGUGACGAAGCGUGAGUGACGGUAAUGGGUAAAGAAGCACCGGCUAACUACGUG